CACGUAGGUGGAUAUUUAAGUCAGGGGUGAAAUCCCAGAGCUCAACUCUGGAACUGCCUUUGAUACUGGGUAUCUUGAGUAUGGAAGAGGUAAGUGGAAUUCCGAGUGUAGAGGUGAAAUUCGUAGAUAUUCGGAGGAACACCAGUGGCGAAGGCGGCUUACUGGUCCAUUACUGACGCUGAGGUGCGAAAGCGUGGGGAGCAAACA
rnacentral:rRNA from 1 species